UACAGAGGUCCCAAGCGUUGUUCGGAUUCAUUGGGCGUAAAGGGUGCGUAGGUGGCAUGGUUAGUCGGGUGUGAAAUCCCGGGGCUCAACCCCGGAACUGCACUCGAUACUGCCGUGCUGGAGUACUGGAGAGGAGACUGGAAUUUACGGUGUAGCAGUGAAAUGCGUAGAUAUCGUAAGGAAGACCGGUGGCGAAAGCUAGUCUCUGGACAGUCACUGACACUGAGGCACGAAGGCUAGGGGAGCAAAUGGG
rnacentral:rRNA from 1 species